CGUGAGUAACCUGCCCCUUACUCUGGGAUAACUCCGGGAAACCGGUGCUAAUACUGGAUACGACCCGAGCGGGCAUCCGCAUCGGGUGGAAAGUUUUUCGGUUUGGGAUGGACUCGCGGCCUAUCAGCUUGUUGGUGGGGUAAUGGCCCACCAAGGCGACGACGGGUAGCCGGCCUGAGAGGGCGACCGGCCACACUGGGACUGAGACACGGCCCAGACUCCUACGGGAGGCAGCAGUGGGGAAUAUUGCACAAUGGGCGAAAGCCUGAUGCAGCGACGCCGCGUGAGGGAUGACGGCCUUCGGGUUGUAAACCUCUUUCAGCAGGGAAGAAGCUUUUGUGACGGUACCUGCAGAAGAAGCACCGGCUAACUACGUGCCAGCAGCCGCGGUAAUACGUAGGGUGCGAGCGUUGUUAAUACGACUCACUAUAGGGCGAAUUGAAUUUAGCGGCCGCGAAUUCGCCCUUGACUACUGGGGUAUCUAAUCCCAUUAUCACGCGUUACUCACCCGUCCGGGACUACUGGGGUGUCUAAUCCUAUUCACGCGUUACUCACCCGCCCGUCUGACUACUGGGGUAUCUAAUCCCAUUAGUCUCACGCGUUACUCACCCGUCCGUGACUACUGGGGUAUCUAAUCCCAUUAUCACGCGUUACUCACCCGUCCG
rnacentral:rRNA from 1 species